rnacentral:rRNA from 1 species
GACGGAAGGUGCAAGCGUUGCUCGGAAUCACUGGGCGUAAAAGGUGCGUAGGCGGCCGUGCAAGUCUGGCGUGAAAGCCCCGGGCUCAGCCCGGGAAGUGCGCUCGAAACUGCGCGGCUCGAGUGCCGGAGGGGAGAGUGGAAUUCCUGGUGUAGCGGUGAAAUGCGCAGAUAUCAGGAAGAACACCUAUGGCGAAGGCGGUUCUCUGGGACGGUACUGACGCUGAGACGCGAAAGCGUGGGGGGCGAACAGG